UUUACUGGGCGUAAAGCGUGUGCAGACGGGUGUUCAAGUGGUGUAUGAAAUCGCUCGGCUCAACCGGGCGCGGUUAUGCCAGACUGGAGACCUAGAGACAGAGAGAGGGACGUGGAAUUCCGGGUGUAGUGGUGAAAUGCGUAGAGAUCCGGAGGAACCCCUGAGGCGAAGGCGGCGUCCUGGCUCUGGUCUGACGUUCAGACACGACAGCAUGGGGAGC
rnacentral:rRNA from 1 species